GUUCAAUCGCCCAGGUUAUUGACUUUUUCAACGGUUUUUGGCCAAAUACCGUGUUUGGAGUAAAAUGAAACCCGUUGCCUAGAUAGUUCCCGGGCUGAACGGUCCGACUGUCUGGGUCAACGGCGAAUCGAAAACCUUACUCCCAUAUUCUCGCCCCCUCAACCUCAAAUCGUGUCUGACCCUGACCCUGUUCUACUCCCUCCACCCGAACCCCCAACUCCAUCUCAGACAACAGAGAACGCUCCGGCCGAUUUACUGUCACCAGUCACUCUCCGGCACCAGCAAUCGCUCCGACCAGUUCACUGUCAUCACUUACUCUCUAAUAAGAGAAACAAGGCGAUCCCCUCAUUUGAAACGAAGAAACCAAAUACCAAAACCAAAUAUCAAAACAAAACAAGACGGAGAACUUCCCCCAUCUCCUCCAUUUCUUCACGUUGCUCACUCUUCUUCUUUUCCUCCUCUCUUCCAUCAUCUUCUUCCCCAGCCAUCGGUCCUUUUGGCGUCAUUCCCACCGGCGAGACUGAGAUACAAUAGCAACAUCGACUCACUCACUCGAAUCCGGAGAGACCACUGUCAAGGAAAAUCUCGAAAAAGGCACCGUGACUCUUCUUCCCCAUUCGAACGAAGAAGAGAGGAGGCGGCGGCAGAUCCCUCCACCGAUCUCUCUCUAAUUCUCUCUCUCUCCUUCUUCUUCCUCUUCCCCUUCCAACUCUGCCACUAUUCACCAUCUUCACAACGAGAAUAGAGAAUUAGUAGCGGCAGUCCUCCCGUUUUCCGUUUGCAGUCGCCGGAACUGUUACCUUAUCCUUAGCUUCUCAUCACCAUUCUCCUAUCCAUGAUCAUCUUCAAACUCGCCAAUCAUUCGACGCCCUCUGCCCUCAUUUUCCUUCCGAUCGGACGGGAUCAACAAUAGGCCUCAUCGGAUCCCUCUCCUCAGCUCAGGCGAAACAGCAUUAACAGUUAUCAUACGGAAGUCGUCCUCUUCUAUUUUUUUUAGCGAAAUCAGCAACCUAGACGCACACUCCUAGUUGCAGCGUUAGAUUUCAGACCGGAAUCCCAAUCAAAGUUCCUUGUUUUGCCGACUGUGUUCAGGCCAAAAUCUGCCCACGUAAGUCCUGCUUGCGUCAUUUUCUUUUUUUAUAUAUACCUCAUUUCUUCUCCUAGUUACUUGCCAUGAAGUUAUAGGCAUUGGGCUGGCUCCCGGAGCCAGUGAAGAAGUUCCCUGCCGAACUAGCUUCAGUCAAGUUUCUGACACACCCAUCCCUACCGUAUUUCACAUAGUUCAUUCAUGGAUAAUUAGUUACUUAUCUUCUUCUUUUUCUUUUGUGUGUUUAUCUUUUGUGAUUCUGAAUAAAUAUCUUUGUUAGAUGUUUUUGAGAAAGAAUCAAUCAGUUCUCUGCAACUUCUUUUUAUCUGUUUUUGUUUUCUCUUCGGAUAACGCUUUUGCUUGCCCAUGGUGCGUUAGUUUUCUUUUUAUUCUUCUGUUCAAGGCUUAAACUCUGUUCAGAAUAAGAAGUCUGUGAAGUUUCAAAUCAUGAUGUAUCAUUCCAUUUCAAUCAAUAGUUCUAUCGAUCUGUUUCAAAGACCCCCUUCCCCGUUAAAUAGGCUAACAGAAAAUGGAAUUUUACGAAAAUACCUUUCAUAACUCGAAUUCAGAUUUUCAAAAUGUCAAAAACAGACAUCCGCUGAAAAAAACGCUCGCGUAAAAACUCAGCCUGAACCUCUCUGAAACCUAGCCGAAAACCAUUCGUUGAAUCCAUCCCAGUGUCCUUCGUCGGAGAUCGCACUAUUGCCACACCGAAUGUAGAGGAAAGCAUUUGUCAUCGUCGCGAGAAAGGAUCUUGUCGCUGUUGCCGGAGAAGAAGAUAUUUUUUUGCCAUUGUCGGAGAAGAAAGCCUCUUUUCGCUGUCGCCGUUGUCGGAGAAGAAGAUCGUCCAAUGUUCAAUCUCUCUUUAAACAUCUCACCAGUAGAAGCUGGAGUGACUUUCUUUUUUAAAUCCACUUUGGAGGGGGCGGGGGGCUGCUUCACGUUCCAGGGUUAAGUUUUUGGUUUGGACAGCAGCCAUGGGUCUGCUGGUGGAUAACCUCAACAUGAGAGGUAUGGCCUCAACAAUAUCAACUGCCCACUUUGUGAACAGGCUGAAGAGAACUGUAACCACAUUUUCCUUCAUUGCAAUUACACAAGAAGAAUCUGGCAUCUUUUUCUCAGUGCUGAGCCAUUGGUCUGCUUCAAAUUCAGUGGAUCUGAUAUUGAGGUACUGGCAGUCAAAAGGGUCUAAGAAAAAAAGCAAGUUCUGUGGGCUUGUAUUUCUUGCACUGUUUUGUGGGUGGCUUGCUUGGAAAGAAACACUCACUUUUUUGAACAAAAGAAGAGAGUCCUGUUGAAGCAGUGAUUAAUUCUUGCAUUGAGCUGCUGUCUUCAUGGCUUACAAAUACAUGUUUUAUGCCUUUAAUCACAGGAAUGCACAGAAAUGAUGUACUGUCUUUCGACUAUUUUUUGAACUUUUGGCACUCCACCUUGUUUGGUUUUACAUAUUCUCAUGGUAUUGGGCUGCUUGUACAGUUUUUUGAGUAA